CCUACGGGUGGCAGCAGUAGGGAAUAUUGCUCAAUGGGGGAAACCCUGAAGCAGCAACGCCGCGUGGGGGAUGAAGGUCUUCGGAUUGUAAACCCCUUUUGUUGGUGAAGAUAAUGACGGUAUCUAACGAGUAAGCACCGGCUAACUCCGUGCCAGCAGCCGCGGUAAUACGGAGGGUGCAAGCGUUACUCGGAAUCACUGGGCGUAAAGGGCGCGUAGGCGGGAUAGCAAGUCAGACGUGAAAUCCAAUGGCUUAACCAGAGAACUGCAUUUGAAACUGUGAGUCUAGAGUAUAGUAGAGGUAGGCGGAAUUCUUGGUGUAGCGGUAAAAUGCGUAGAGAUCAAGAGGAACACCCAUUGCGAAGGCGACCUACUAGACUUUAACUGACGCUGAUGCGCGAAAGCGUGGGUAGCAAACAGGAUUAGAUACCCUAGUAGUC
rnacentral:rRNA from 1 species